GUUGGGGAGAUGGUGAGGACGUAGCUGACAGACACACCACCAGUAGAGGAGGGAGGGUCCCACUCCAGAGUGAUAAUAGAGGAACUGAUUUGGUUUUGUUGUGAAGCCACUAUUGGAGCUGAUGGAGAAGGAUUCUGUUGCUUCUCCAAUACAACGUACAACGGUGCCGUUCAGCAAGGACACCUCAGUGACUGUGGUAAGGGUGGAGCUCAGUAGAAGCAGAAGACACCACUUGUGUCAACUGCGCAGUAACCACGUCAGGUGGAGGAUCCACUUCCCACAAAAGUGAACUUCUAUUAACAGAGCAGGAUGGACAAGUCUGACAGAACAGUAACAUGCAGUUGUAUAAUUAAUUGUUGUUAUUUGUUCAUCAGUUUAUGCAAACAGAUGCAGUGCUACAUGUAUUGUUUACAUUGUCUCAAUGAAUAAUAAUGAAAGUUGCAAG